rnacentral:tRNA from 1 species
GCCGCUGUGGUGAAAUUGGUAGACACAAGGGAUUCAAAAUCCCUCGCCUUUUUGGCAUGUCGGUUCGAGUCCGACCAGCGGUACCA